CAUGCGCCGCAGCGCGGGGCCUGCCGGGCCUUGGAGUCCGCUCGCGGGGUCCCCGGCGUGGGCGGCGGGUAGAGGCUUUCGACAGGGCCGGCGAGUGUUCCCCAACUUGGAGGCCUUUUCCUUCCUCCUAACAGCGAGCGGCGUGCAUAUUCAGCUCGAAGAUGAGCUCCCCAAGGACCUGCUUUUUAAUGCUGUCCUUCACUGCUGUGUCCCCAGUGCCUAGAACCAUGCCUGGCACACAAUGAGCCCCAAGUCCAAUCACAAGUGUCCUAAGGAGGGAGCAGAGGGAGAUCUGGUACACAUAGAAGAGAAAGCCAUGUGGCCACAAGUCAAGGAAUGUCAACAGCCACCAGAAGCUGUUAGAGACAAGGACUAGAGCCUGCAGAAGGAGCAUGUCUCUGCCAACACUGUGAUUUUGAAUUUGUGACCUCCAAACUGAGAAAAUAAACUUGUGUUUUAAUCCA